AGUGAACGCUGGCGGUAGGCCUGACACAUGCCAGUCGAACGGCAGCACAGUAAGAGCUUGCUCUUACGGGUGGCGAGUGGCGGACGGGUGAGGAAUACAUCGGAAUCUACUUUUUCGUGGGGGAUAACGUAGGGAAACUUACGCUAAUACCGCAUACGACCUACGGGUGAAAGCAGGGGAUCUUCGGACCUUGCGCGAUUGAAUGAGCCGAUGUCGGAUUAGCUAGUUGGCGGGGUAAAGGCCCACCAAGGCGACGAUCCGUAGCUGGUCUGAGAGGAUGAUCAGCCACACUGGAACUGAGACACGGUCCAGACUCCUACGGGAGGCAGCAGUGGGGAAUAUUGGACAAUGGGCGCAAGCCUGAUCCAGCCAUACCGCGUGAGUGAAGAAGGCCUUCGGGUUGUAAAGCCCUUUUGUUGGGAAAGAAAAGCAGCAGGUUAAUACCCCGCUGUUCUGACGGUACCCAAAGAAUAAGCACCGGCUAACUUCGUG
rnacentral:rRNA from 1 species